UACGGAGGGGGCUAGCGUUGUUCGGAAUUACUGGGCGUAAAGCGCACGUAGGUGGCUUUGCAAGUUAGAGGUGAAAGCCCGGGGCUCAACUCCGGAAUUGCCUUUAAAACUGCAUCGCUAGAAUUGUGGAGAGGUAAGUGGAAUUCCGAGUGUAGAGGUGAAAUUCGUAGAUAUUCGCAAGAACACCAGUGGCGAAGGCGGCUCACUGGCCCGGUACUGACGCUGAGGUGCGAAAGCGUGGGGAGCAAACAGG
rnacentral:rRNA from 1 species